rnacentral:rRNA from 1 species
UUGGGCACUAGGUGUGGGGGCCACCCGUGGUUUCUGCGCCGUAGCUAACGCUUUAAGUGCCCCGCCUGGGGAGUACGGCCGCAAGGCUAAAACUCAAAGGAAUUGACGGGGGCCCGCACAAGCGGCGGAGCAUGCGGAUUAAUUCGAUGCAACGCGAAGAACCUUACCAAGGCUUGACAUGCGCCCUGACGCUGCAGAGAUGUGGUGGCAUUUGGUUGGGGGUGUACAGGUGGUGCAUGGCUGUCGUCAG